rnacentral:misc_RNA from 1 species
UCCCCGUUACCGGGGCAGUCUGAAUAGAAAAAUACAACUAUUCACAAGGGUUGCGCUCGUUGAUGGACUUAACCAAACAUCUCACGACACGAGCUGACGACGGCCAUGCAACAUCUGUCACCGAGUUCAAUAAAGCACUCACUACUUUCGUAGUAAUUCUCGGGAUGUCAAACCCUGGUAAGGUUCUUCGGUUAGCAUCGAAUUAAAGAACAUAAUCCACCGCUUGUGCGGCUCCCCGUCAAUUCCUUUGAGUUUCAGCCUUGCGGCCGUACUCCCCAGGCGGGGUGCUUAACGCGUUAGCUACGACACGGGAUCCGUGAACCAGACCCCAUAUCUAGCACCCAUCGUUUACGGCGUGGACUAC